AACGAACGCUGGCGGCAGGCCUAACACAUGCAAGUCGAACGAACCGUGCUCUUCGGAGCACAAUGUUAGUGGCGCACGGGUGAGUAACACGUGGGAACGUACCCUAUAGUGCGGAAUAACCCAGGGAAACUUGGGCUAAUACCGCAUACGCCCUUCGGGGGAAAGAUUUAUCGCUAUAGGAUCGGCCCGCGUCUGAUUAGGUAGUUGGUAGGGUAACGGCCUACCAAGCCGACGAUCAGUAGCUGGUCUGAGAGGAUGAUCAGCCACACUGGGACUGAGACACGGCCCAGACUCCUACGGGAGGCAGCAGUGGGGAAUAUUGGACAAUGGGGGCAACCCUGAUCCAGCCAUGCCGCGUGAGUGAAGAAGGCCUUCGGGUUGUAAAGCUCUUUCGACGGGGACGAUGAUGACGGUACCCGUAUGAGAAGCCCCGGCUAACUUCGUGCCAGCAGCCGCGGUAAUACGAAGGGGGCUAGCGUUGUUCGGAAUUACUGGGCGUAAAGCGCGCGUAGGCGGUGUUCUAUGUCAGAGGUGAAAUCCCGGGCCUCAACUCCGGAAUUGCCUUUGAAACGGGANCCCUUGAGUCCGAGAGAGGAUGGCGGAAUUCCUAGUGUAGAGGUGAAAUUCGUAGAUAUUAGGAAGAACACCGGUGGCGAAGGCGGCCA
rnacentral:rRNA from 1 species